AAUAUUCCGCAAUGGGCGAAAGCCUGACGGAGCGACGCCGCGUGGAUGAUGAAGACCCUAUGGGUCGUAAAAUCCUUUUGUGAGGGAAGAAGAUCUGACGGUACCUCACGAAUAAGCCACGGCUAACUACGUGCCAGCAGCCGCGGUAAAACGUAGGUGGCAAGCGUUGUCCGGAAUUACUGGGCGUAAAGAGUGCGUAGGCUGUUUUGUAAGUCUUAGGUGAUAUCUAUCAGCUCAACUGAUAAACUGCUUAAGAUACUGCAUAACUUGAGGGCAGGAGAGGAGAGUGGAAUUCCCGGUGUAGCGGUGAAAUUCGUAGAUAUCGGGAGGAACACCAGUGGCGAAGGCGACUCUCUGGACUGUCGCU
rnacentral:rRNA from 1 species